rnacentral:rRNA from 1 species
AGUGAACGCUGGCGGUAGGCCUAACACAUGCAAGUCGAACGGCAGCACAGUAAGAGCUUGCUCUUACGGGUGGCGAGUGGCGGACGGGUGAGGAAUACAUCGGAAUCUACUUUUUCGUGGGGAUAACGUUGGGAAAAUUAACCUAAUACCCCAUACGAACCACCGGUGAAAACAAGGGGUCCUUGGAACCUUGGCGAAUGAAUUAGCCGAUGUCGGAUUAGCUAGUUGGCGGGGUAAAGGCCCACCAAGGCGACGAUCCGUAGCUGGUCUGAGAGGAUGAUCAGCCACACUGGAACUGAGACACGGUCCAGACUCCUACGGGAGGCAGCAGUGGGGAAUAUUGGACAAUGGGCGCAAGCCUGAUCCAGCCAUACCGCGUGGGUGAAGAAGGCCUUCGGGUUGUAAAGCCCUUUUGUUGGGAAAGAAAAGCAGCAGGUUAAUACCCCGCUGUUCUGACGGUACCCAAAGAAUAAGCACCGGCUAACUUCGUG